rnacentral:rRNA from 1 species
GAGUUUGAUCAUGGCUCAGGAUGAACGCCGGCGGUGUGCCUAAUACAUGCAAGUCGUACGCACUGGCCCAACUGAUUGAUGGUGCUUGCACCUGAUCGACGAUGGAUCACCAGUGAGUGGCGGACGGGUGAGUAACACGUAGGUAACCUGCCCUGUACAGGGGGAUAACAAUCAGAAAUGACUGCUAAUACCGCAUAAGACCACAGCACCGCAUGGUGCAGGGGUAAAAACUCCGGUGGUACAGGAUGGACCCGCGUCUGAUUAGCUGGUUGGUGAGGUAACGGCUCACCAAGGCGACGAUCAGUAGCCGGCUUGAGAGAGUGAACGGCCACAUUGGGACUGAGACACGGCCCAAAACUCCUACGGGAGGCCAGCAGUGGGGAAUAUUGCACAAUGGGGAAACCCUGAUGCAGCAACGCCGCGUGAGUGAAGAAGUAUUUCGGUAUGUAAAGCUCUAUCAGCAGGGAAGAAAGUGACGGUA